AGAACGAACGCUGGCGGCAUGCCUAACACAUGCAAGUCGAACGCUUUUGGGGCUUCGGUCCCAAAGGAGUGGCGCACGGGUGAGUAGCGCGUGGGAACCUGCCCUGUUGUGGGGGAUAACCGAGGGAAACUUCGGCUAAUACCGCAUACGCCCGGGGGAAACUCCGGGGAAAGAUUUAUCGCAGCAGGAGGGGCCCGCGUCGGAUUAGGUAGUUGGUGGGGUAACGGCCCACCAAGCCUGUGAUCCGUAGCUGGUCUGAGAGGAUGAUCAGCCACACUGGGACUGAGACACGGCCCAGACUCCUACGGGAGGCAGCAGUGGGGAAUAUUGGACAAUGGGCGCAAGCCUGAUCCAGCAAUGCCGCGUGAGUGAUGAAGGCCUUCGGGUUGUAAGCUCUUUCGCACGCGACGAUGAUGACGGUAGCGUGAGAAGAGCCCGGCUAACUCGUGCCAGCAGCCGC
rnacentral:rRNA from 1 species